GAAGCUUCGGCAGAUUUAGAUUGUUUCUAGUGGCGGACGGGUGAGUAGCGCGUGGGUAACCUGCCUUGUACAGGGGGAUAACAGUCAGAAAUGACUGCUAAUACCGCAUAAGCGCACAGGACCGCAUGGUCCGGUGUGAAAAACUCCGGUGGUAUAAGAUGGACCCGCGUUGGAUUAGCUAGUUGGUGAGGUAACGGCCCACCAAGGCGACGAUCCAUAGCCGGCCUGAGAGGGUGAACGGCCACAUUGGGACUGAGACACGGCCCAGACUCCUACGGGAGGCAGCAGUGGGGAAUAUUGCACAAUGGGGGAAACCCUGAUGCAGCGACGCCGCGUGAAGGAAGAAGUAUCUCGGUAUGUAAACUUCUAUCAGCAGGGAAGAAAAUGACGGUACCUGACUAAGAAGCCCCGGCUAACUACGUGCCAGCAGCCGCGGUAAUACGUAGGGGGCAAGCGUUAUCCGGAUUUACUGGGUGUAAAGGGAGCGUAGACGGAUGGACAAGUCUGAUGUGAAAGGCUGGGGCUCAACCCCGGGACUGCAUUGGAAACUGCCCGUCUUGAGUGCCGGAGAGGUAAGCGGAAUUCCUAGUGUAGCGGUGAAAUGCGUAGAUAUUAGGAGGAACACCAGUGGCGAAGGCGGCUU
rnacentral:rRNA from 1 species